GAUGAACGCUGGCGGCGUGCCUAAUACAUGCAAGUCGAGCGAACAGAUGAGGAGCUUGCUCCUCUGACGUUAGCGGCGGACGGGUGAGUAACACGUGGAUAACCUACCUAUAAGACUGGGAUAACUUCGGGAAACCGGAGCUAAUACCGGAUAAUAUAUUGAACCGCAUGGUUCAAUAGUGAAAGACGGUUUUGCUGUCACUUAUAGAUGGAUCCGCGCCGCAUUAGCUAGUUGGUAAGGUAACGGCUUACCAAGGCGACGAUGCGUAGCCGACCUGAGAGGGUGAUCGGCCACACUGGAACUGAGACACGGUCCAGACUCCUACGGGAGGCAGCAGUAGGGAAUCUUCCGCAAUGGGCGAAAGCUUGACGGAGCAACGCCGCGUGAGUGAUGAAGGUCUUCGGAUCGUAAAACUCUGUUAUUAGGGAAGAACAAAUGUGUAAGUAACUAUGCACGUCUUGACGGUACCUAAUCAGAAAGCCACGGCUAACUACGUG
rnacentral:rRNA from 1 species